rnacentral:rRNA from 1 species
ACGGGAGGCAGCAGUGGGGAAUAUUGGGCAAUGGGGGAAACCCUGACCCAGCAACGCCGCGUGAAGGAAGAAGGCUUUCGGGUUGUAAACUUCUUUUAUCUGUGACGAUAGUGACGGUAGCAGAUGAAUAAGCCACGGCUAACUACGUGCCAGCAGCCGCGGUAAUACGUAGGUGGCAAGCGUUGUCCGGAUUUACUGGGUGUAAAGGGAGCGCAGGCGGGAUAGCAAGUCAGCGGUGAAAAUUAUGGGCUUAACCCAUAAACUGCCGUUGAAACUGUUAUUCUUGAGUGGAGUAGAGGCAGGCGGAAUUCCGAGUGUAGCGGUGAAAUGCGUAGAUAUUCGGAGGAACACCAGUGGCGAAGGCGGCCUGCUGGGCUCUAACUGACGCUGAGGCUCGAAAGUGUGGGGAGCAAACAGGAUUAGAUACCCUGGUA